rnacentral:lncRNA from 1 species
GUGAGACUUCCCCUUGUGAUCAUGUGAGCCAAUUCUCCUGAUAAACUCACCUUCAUAUAUACAUCUAUCCUAUUAGUUCUGUCCGUUUAGAGAACCCUGACUGAUACACAGGCCAUGCUCAGAUGGAGUGCUGUCUGGAAAUGGGAGUAAUUCUGUGGUUGAAUGUCUUAAUUGUCCUGGAAGGUGGGAGAAAUGGAAUGAGGCUGGUGCUACAAUUGAUGUAAAAGCAGCAGCUGCUCACAUAAGCCGGGGUGGGGGCUGCCUAGGCGUAUUUGUGGUAUUGACCACGUUCUUGUUUUUGUUUGUGACCAGGCCAGAUUACAGAGGGGUAUUGAUUUGCCUUGCCCCCGCCCCCACCAUCACAGUGUGUCCCUGUCCAGUGUUGGUGCUGUGUGGCAUUGGCUUGUGUCCAUAGGAGUCCAUCAAGGCAGAGCGGCAGAGUGGGAAGGCAGGUCAGCUUCCAGCUCUUCCAGGCUGCAUGUCCCACUCAAUAUCCUUUCAACCCAAUGGAAAUGGAUUGAAAGAGUGAAAGUCACUGGUCUCAAAGAAUCUACGGAAUUUAGCAUUUUGAAAAUCACAUAGCAAUUUUGGGUAGGUAUUCACCUGCACUAAAAAACCAGGCAAACAUCCGACUCCCAGGAUAAAGUGACUGAGAGCAGUAGAAGACUUGUUGAGCCUUAAGGAAUAAGAGGAAAAUUACGUUAUGAAGUGCAGGAACAGCACAGACCCAGACGAGGGGACGCAGCCCGGAGCCAGUAACCCGGCGCCACCUCCUCCCCAGGGCGCAGCGCUGGCUGAUCCCCAGAUACCGUGAUCACACGUCCCGGGUCCUGAGAGCGCCUCAUAGGUAGACAGUUCUUUGGGACUUCUGGGAUGCAGCACUUGAAGAGAGGUUUACCUAAACUUUCCUCCUGGGAGCCUGUGAUCAUUUGAAAGUAACAGAAGAAAGUUGUCAGGCUGAGGAAAGUUUCAACAGGCACUUGGUGAGAAUGGGAAGCAUCCAUUCAUUGUGAAAUCGCGGGGACAGAGGAGGAAUUCACGGGAUCAGAGCACUGAGAAACUCCAGAGGCUUCUGGUUCACCGCCCUGAUUCCACAGAUGUGGGUCAGAGGCAGAGAUGGAAGUUGGAAUGGACAAGCCUGCCCUCUCCUUGGCUCUCCAUGGCUCUGUCCUCAGGCUGUUUCUGCAAUUUGACAUGAGGCCUGGCCCCAGGGAAACCAGUGGGGCCUCAUCUCCUCCCUGUGCUGCUCUGAGGUGGAGCCUUCUCAGGGUCAGUCCAGCUCUGGAGCCCCUCUCCAGCUCGGUCACCAAAGCUGUCUGGUCCCAGGGCGGUGCUGAGUGACAGGCAUGCCAGCCAAUCCAAUCGGCAAUUUCAUAUCCAAUGCAUGUGACUGAUAAAGAGAUAACGCCCUGUCUCCAAGACACAGGCUUUACAUAAACAGCUUUAAUGACUUCUUCACUUAGAGACAAGACUCCUUAGUGGUGGAACCUCAGGCAUCCGUGCAGGACGUAAGAAAGCUGCCGUAUAUACAUGAACUGAGAAGUGUGUAGAAGAAUAAAUACUGUAAUAGGUAAUAAAAUGUAUGUAUUUUUAUUUAUGUGCUACUUUGUCUUUCUCCCUCUCUGUGUAUAUACACAUACAUACAAAAAUGUAUUCA